UACAGAGGGUGCAAGCGUUGUUCGGAAUUAUUGGGCGUACAGCGCGUGUAGGCGGCUUUGCAAGUCGGGUGUGAAAGCCCUCAGCUCAACUGAGGAAGUGCGCCCGAAACUGCAGAGCUUGAGUGCCGGAGAGGGUGGCGGAAUUCCCCAAGUAGAGGUGAAAUUCGUAGAUAUGGGGAGGAACACCGGUGGCGAAGGCGGCCACCUGGACGGCAACUGACGCUGAGACGCGAAAGCGUGGGGAGCAAACAGG
rnacentral:rRNA from 1 species